AUUGAACGCUGGCGGCAGGCCUAACACAUGCAAGUCGAACGAUUGGAGGACGGGUGAGUAAUGUCUGGGAAACUGCCUGAUUGAGGGGGAUAACUACUGGAAACGGUAGCUAAUACCGCAUACCAUCGGAUGUGCCCAGAUGGGAUGAGCUAGUAGGUGGGGUAACGCCUCACCUAGGCGGCGCUCCCUAGCUGGUCUGAGAGGAUGACCAGCCACACUGGAACUGAGACACGGUCCAGACUCCUACGUGAGGCAGCAGUGGGGAAUAUUGCACAAUGGGCGCAAGCCUGAUGCAGCCAUGCCGCGUGUAUGAAGAAGGCCUUCGGGUUGUAAAGUACUUUCAGCGGGGAGGCGUUACCCGCAGAAGAAGCACCGGCUAACUCCGUGCCAGCAGCCGCGGUAAUAC
rnacentral:rRNA from 1 species